GACGGAGGAUGCAAGCGUUUAUCCGGAAUGAUUGGGCGUAAAGCGUCCGCAGGUGGCAGUUCAAGUCUGCUGUCAAAGACCGGGGCUUAACUUCGGAAAGGCAGUGGAAACUGAACAGCUAGAGUAUGGUAGGGGCAGAGGGAAUUCCUGGUGUAGCGGUGAAAUGCGUAGAGAUCAAGAAGAACAUCGGUGGCGAAGGCGCUCUGCUGGACCAUAACUGACACUCAGGGACGAAAGCUAGGGGAGCGAAUGGG
rnacentral:rRNA from 1 species